rnacentral:rRNA from 1 species
GACGAACGCUGGCGGCGUGCUUAACACAUGCAAGUCGAACGGAAAGGCCCUGCUUUUGUGGGGUUCUCGAGUGGCGAACGGGUGAGUAACACGUGAGUAACCUCCCCUUGAUUUUGGGGUAACUUCAGGAAACUGGGGCUAUUACCCCACAGGAGCUCCUGUUGCAUGGUGGGGGUUGGAAAGUUUCGGCGGUUGGGCAUGGACUCGCGGCUUAUCAUCUUGUUGGUGGAGUAGUGGCUUAGCAAGGCCUUGACGGGUAGCCGGCCUGAGAGGGUGACCGGCCACAUGGGGACUCAGGUACGGCCCAGACUCCUACGGAGGGCAGCAGUGGGGAAUAUUGCACAAAGGGCGGAAGCGUGAGGCAGCAACGCCGCGUGGGAGAUGACGGCCUUCGGGUUGUAAACCGCUUUCGCCUGUGACGAAGCGUGAGUGACGGUAGUGGGUAAAGAAGCACCGGCUAACUACGUG